AUACGGAGGAUCCGAGCGUUAUCCAGAUUUAUUGGGUUUAAAGGGAGCGUAGGCGGACGCUUAAGUCAGUUGUGAAAGUUUGCGGCUCAACCGUAAAAUUGCAGUUGAUACUGGGUGUCUUGAGUACAGUAGAGGCAGGCGGAAUUCGUGGUGUAGCGGUGGAAUGCUUAGAUAUCACGAAGAACUCCGAUUGCGAAGGCAGCCUGCUGGACUGUAACUGACGCUGAUGCUCGAAAGUGUGGGUAUCAAACAGGAUUAGAUACCCUGGUAGUCCACACAGUAAACGAUGAAUACUCGCUGUUUGCGAUAUACAGUAAGCGGCCAAGCGAAAGCGUUAAGUAUUCCACCUGGGGAGUACGCCGGCAACGGUGAAACUCAAAUGAAUUGACGGGG
rnacentral:rRNA from 1 species